GCGAGUUGACGAUAGAAUUCAUUGUCUGUCAAUCCACUGACUAAUUUGUGUGAUGUAAACAGUGAAUCCCGACAGGUUCUGAUCGG
rnacentral:snoRNA from 1 species